CGUACAGGUCUCCGUUGGUGAACCAGCGGAGGGAUCAUUACUGAGUUACCGCUCUAUAACCCUUUGUGAACAUACCUAACUGUUGCUUCGGCGGGCAGGGGGUGCCGCCUGCGGACCCCCCUCCCGGCCCUGCCCUCACGGGCGGAGCGCCCGCCGGAGGAUACCAAACUCUAUUUUAACGACGUUUCUUCUGAGUGGCACAAGCAAAUAAUUAAAACUUUCAACAACGGAUCUCUUGGUUCUGGCAUCGAUGAAGAACGCAGCGAAAUGCGAUAAGUAAUGUGAAUUGCAGAAUUCAGUGAAUCAUCGAAUCUUUGAACGCACAUUGCGCCCGCCAGCAUUCUGGCGGGCAUGCCUGUUCGAGCGUCAUUUCAACCCUCAAGCUCUGCUUGGUGUUGGGGCCCUACGGUUGACGUAGGCCCUUAAAGGUAGUGGCGGACCCUCUCGGAGCCUCCUUUGCGUAGUAACUAACGUCUCGCACUGGGAUUCGGAGGGACUCUUGCCGUAAAACCCCCAAAUUUUUAAAGGUUGACCUCGGAUCAGGUAGGAAUACCCGCUGAACUUAAGCAUAUCA
rnacentral:rRNA from 1 species